rnacentral:rRNA from 1 species
UACGGAGGGUGCGAGCGUUGUUUCGGAAUUUACUGGGCGUAAAGGGCUCGUAGGCGGCCAACUAAGUCGGAUGUGAAAUCCCCAGGCUUUAACCUGGGAAUUUGCAUCCGAUACUGGAUGGCUUUGAAUCCGGGAGAGGGAUGCGGAAUUCCAGGUGUAGCGGUUGAAAUGCGUAGAUAUCUGGAGGAACACCGGUGGCGAAGGCGGCAUCCUGGACCGACAUUGACGCUGAUGAGCGAAAGCUAGGGGAGCAAACGGG